UGGGGAAUUUUGGACAAUGGGGGAAACCCUGAUCCAGCCAUCCCGCGUGUGCGAUGAAGGCCUUCGGGUUGUAAAGCACUUUUGGCAGGAAAGAAACGUCGCGGGUUAAUACCCCGCGAAACUGACGGUACCUGCAGAAUAAGCACCGGCUAACUACGUGCCAGCAGCCGCGGUAAUACGUAGGGUGCAAGCGUUAAUCGGAAUUACUGGGCGUAAAGCGUGCGCAGGCGGUUCGGAAAGAAAGAUGUGAAAUCCCAGAGCUUAACUUUGGGAACUGCAUUUUUAACUACCGGGCUAGAGUGUGUCAGAGGGAGGUGGAAUUCCGCGUGUAGCAGUGAAAUGCGUAGAUAUGCGGAGGAACACCGAUGGCGAAGGCAGCCCCCUGGGAUAACACUGACGCUCAUGCACGAAAGCGUGGGGAGCAAACAGGAUUAGAUACCCUGGUAGUCCACGCCCUAAACGAUGUCAACUAGCUGUUGGGGCCUUCGGGCCUUGGUAGCGCAGCUAACGCGUGAAGUUGACCGCCUGGGGAGUACGGUCGCAAGAUUAAAACUCAAAUGAAUUGACGGGGUCAUA
rnacentral:rRNA from 1 species